rnacentral:rRNA from 1 species
UGGGUGGCGAGUGGCGGACGGGUGAGGAAUACAUCGGAAUCUACCUUUUCGUGGGGGAUAACGUAGGGAAACUUACGCUAAUACCGCAUACGACCUUAGGGUGAAAGCGGAGGACCUUCGGGCUUCGCGCGGAUAGAUGAGCCGAUGUCGGAUUAGCUAGUUGGCGGGGUAAAGGCCCACCAAGGCGACGAUCCGUAGCUGGUCUGAGAGGAUGAUCAGCCACACUGGAACUGAGACACGGUCCAGACUCCUACGGGAGGCAGCAGUGGGGAAUAUUGGACAAUGGGCGCAAGCCUGAUCCAGCCAUGCCGCGUGGGUGAAGAAGGCCUUCGGGUUGUAAAGCCCUUUUGUUGGGAAAGAAAAGCAGUCGGUUAAUACCCGAUUGUUCUGACGGUACCCAAAGAAUAAGCACCGGCUAACUUCGUGCCAGCAGCCGCGGUAAUACGAAGGGUGCAAGCGUUACUCGGAAUUACUGGGCGUAAAGCGUGCGUAGGUGGUUGUUUAAGUCCGUUGUGAAAGCCCUGGGCUCAACCUGGGAAUUGCAGUGGAUACUGGGCAACUAGAGUGUGGUAGAGGAUGGCGGAAUUCCCGGUGUAGCAGUGAAAUGCGUAGAGAUCGGGAGGAACAUCUGUGGCGAAGGCGGCCAUCUGGACCAACACUGACACUGAGGCACGAAAG